rnacentral:rRNA from 1 species
GAUGAACGCUGGCGGCGUGCCUAAUACAUGCAAGUCGAGCGAACAGACAAGGAGCUUUCUCCUCUGACGUUAGCGGCUGACGGGUGAGUAACACGUGGAUAACCUACCUAUAAGACUUGGAUAACUUCGGGAAACCGGAGCUAAUACCGGAUAAUAUAUUGAACCGCAUGGUUCAAUAGUGAAAGACGGUUUUGCUGUCACUUAUAGAUGAAUCCGCGCCGCAUUAGCUAGUUGGUAAGGUAACGGCUUACCAAGGCAACGAUGCGUAGCCGACCUGAGAGGGUGAUCGGCCACACUGGAACUGAGACACGGUCCAGACUCCUACGGGAGGCAGCAGUAGGGAAUCUUGCGCAAUGGGCGAAAGCCUGACGGAGCAACGCCGCGUGAGUGAUGAAGGUCUUCGGAUCGUAAAACUCUGUUAUUAGGGAAGAACAAAUGUGUAAGUAACUAUGCACGUUUUGACGGUACCUAAUCAGAAAGCCACGGCUAACUACGUG